rnacentral:rRNA from 1 species
CGCGGCCUAUCAGCUUGUUGGUGAGGUAAUGGCUUACCAAGGCGACGACGGGUAGCCGGCCUGAGAGGGCGACCGGCCACACUGGGACUGAGGCACGGCCCAGACUCCUACGGGAGGCAGCAGUGGGGAAUAUUGCACAAUGGGGGAAACCCUGAUGCAGCGACGCCGCGUGCGGGAUGAAGGCCUUCGGGUUGUAAACCGCUUUCAGCAGGGACGAAAGUGACGGUACCUGCAGAAGAAGCACCGGCUAACUACGUGCCAGCAGCCGCGGUAAUACGUAGGGUGCAAGCGUUGUCCGGAAUUAUUGGGCGUAAAGAGUUCGUAGGCGGCUUGUCGCGUCCGUUGUGAAAGCUUGGGGCUCAACCCCAAGUCUGCAGUGGAUACGGGCAGGCUAGAGUCAGGUAGGGGAGAACGGAAUUCCUGGUGUAGCGGUGAAAUGCGCAGAUAUCAGGAGGAACACCGGUGGCGAAGGCGGUUCUCUGGGCCUGUACUGACGCUGAGGAACGAAAGCGUGGGGAGCGAACAGGAUUAGAUACCCUGGUAGUCCACGCCGUAAACGGUGGGCGCUAGAUGUGGGGACCUUCCACGGUUUCUGCGUCGCAGCUAACGCAUUAAGCGCCCCGCCUGGGAGUACGGA